AAUGCNUCUAGAUAGACGUUUGAUCAUGGCUCAGAUUGAACGCUUGGCGGCCAAGGCCUAACACAUGCAAGUCGAACGGUAACAGGAAGCAGCUUGCUGCUUCGCUGACGAGUGGCGGACGGGUGAGUAAUAGUCUGGGAAACUGCCUGAUGGAGUGGGGAUAACUACUNGGAAACGGUAGCUAAUACCGCAUAACGUCGCAAGACCAAAGAGGGGGACCUUCGGGCCUCUUGCCAUCGGAUGUGCCCAGAUGGGAUUAGCUAGUAGGUGGGGUAACGGCUCACCUAGGCGACGAUCCCUAGCUGGUCUGAGAGGAUGACCAGCCACACUGGAACUGAGACACGGUCCAGACUCCUACGGGAGGCAGCAGUGGGGAAUAUUGCACAAUGGGCGCAAGCCUGAUGCAGCCAUGCCGCGUGUAUGAAGAAGGCCUUCGGGUUGUAAAGUACUUUCAGCGAGGAGGAAGGUGUUGAGCGUUAAUAAACCUCAGCAAUUUGACGUUACCCGCAGAAGAAGCAACCGGCUAAACUCCGUGCCAGCAGCCGCAGGUAAUAACGGAGGGUGCAAAGCAUUAAUCGGAUUACUGGGCGUAAAGCGCACGC
rnacentral:rRNA from 1 species